AGCACUUGGCGACAGCGGUAAGGAAAAACUCACCUUUAAGAGGUAGAAACCUUACGCAGAACCCGGCUCUUGGUGGGCGGCCAUCUGCCUUGACUGGUUGGGUUGAGAGAGAGAAAGAAAGAAGGGGAGGAGGGGGUGGGACAGAAUAGAUAAAAUAAACGUGUAUGUCAAUUACUGUAACAUUAGACCCUGCAGGAAACAUGUUAGUAUGUUAGUGACAUGUAUGCCAAGAUAAACUACAACCUGCAUGUUUAAAUAUAUUUUAGCAACCUGCAUCAGACUAACCUUCACUGACUGCAACUUUACAGGCAAUGAACAGAUCAGCUGUAUGACACUGGGAAGAAGAUGGUUACAUGAAUUUUGCUUUUUAGGCUGAUAAUAAAACCUUCACCUCUUUAUACCUACUGCGAGUGAUCUACAAGAAGCCGACGAGUGUUUGUCUGCUGUCAUCUCAUCAACUGGUAGAAGAUAUUCAGCUGAGCAGAUUCCCUGAUCUAGGGCAGUGAGAGACACUAGUAUCCUUAAUAGCAGGUAGAGAGGCAUUUCCAACAUAACAAAGGAUAUGUGUCCUGACAUAACUUUGAACUCUGCAGUGUCCCACAAUACGGAAAUACCAACUAAGUCACAGCAAGAGAAAAUUGACUUUCAGACAUCAAGUAUUUUGGCAUAAACAAUGUCUCUUAUAAAGAUGAUUUGGAAAUAUAUAACAAUAACAUAUUAAACAGUGUUUCACUGUUUGUACCAUCAAACAUAGCUGCUGUUGGGUACAUGAUACAAAGGCAGGCCUACAUGCAGUCAUAAAGCCUGAUAACAAAGAAAGGCACCAAGUCAAACAAAAGGAGUCCAAACGGACUUCAGCUCCCAUUAUGCUUCGCUCAACCCACACAUAGGUGUGAUAUCUGGUAGAGUCAAACUCUCGGCUCCCGUUGGACGAGACCCCCUGGAAAUGCACACAGAUUCUUCCUCCCUUCCAUGACAUCACCAAGAGUAUAAACACUUGAGAUGCUCGCCAAACUGUGCUUUCAGCUGCAGUUUCUGCUUCCAGCUGUCUCCAUGGCUACGAGGAAGUAUCCAUAUACAUACAUUAAACUCUAAGUCGGCCACACAAUCUUGUUGGAUGACUAGAGUUUUAAUGUGUUCAACUGAGCAUAUUACUGGAUCCUAAGAAGUAGACUGCUGUGCAACACAGCACUCUCACCUUUACUGCCAAAGAAAGACAAAGGAUAACUCCUGUGCCCUGCUUGUCUUUAAGUGAGUCGACUCGCUGUUUGCUCCGCCAAGGACCAGCUGCCGUGAAACCCCCUAGAAGAGCAUGAGGAGCCCGAGGAACCAAGCCCAACCAGAAAGAUGGACUGAAACACACUCUACUCACUCCCUUAAGUGACACAAGAGGCUUAUGUCUGGGCAGACAUAGGUUACUAAAGUGUGUGUUAUUUUCAGCUUUGUUGUGAAGUUAACGGACUGUGAGUCUGGUUGUUCCUGCUGAGAAUACUGUGAAAGUAUUAUUGUUGUUUGCUGCUUGUUUUUAUAGUGUUUAUCAUGCUAAACUGGUUUGUGUUUGUCCAACUGAUUGGACUGCUUUCUGUUAGCUUGCCACCAUGUGUGAGACGAUGGGUUGCAUUUUAUUUGUUGUCAGACCGCGGCCAGUAAAUAAGGACGUUCGCACACUACGUCUCUGUGGAGAUAAAAGCAAGCACCACUUUCUCCUCACAAUCGCUGAAAUCUUUUAUUCUUUGGUGCUUUCACCCUCUUUUCCCUACUAACCUCACCUGCAUGUACACACACGCUACUCUGCAGUUGGACAUGUGUUGCUAAGCAAAAGAGAUGCUCAGCUUUGUCUGACACCAUUUUGGUGAUCAGAGGCACUUGUUGACUAGCAGCUGCCAUUUAAUCACAGCCUCUGUUCAAAUCUCGCGGUCAACCUGUUGACAGGAACACUUUUGUUACGUAACCCUAUGUGGUUUAUCUCUGCCAUCUUGCUUCUCCUCUUCCUCUCACCUACACACACACACACACACACACACACACACACACACACAUACAUCUACAUG